CUUAGCCUAGAGGGUUCGUGUUUUCAAAUAGGCAACCCGAACAUUAUUGAAAUAGGAAGUAGAGGUUAUUUGGUGUUGAAUGCUUACAGCAGGUAAGAAUCCUAAAAAAUGACAAAGAGAUACUUCCACCGUGUGAAGAAUUGCGGUUACGCAAAUGAUAGCGGCCAUCUGGGUUUUAA
rnacentral:other from 1 species